UAAGCCCAAACCAAAGCUUCCUCAAUCCUCACUGCAGCUCACCCCGACCCGACCCGACCCGAGCCAUGUAUGCUCGCCACGCCAUGUGUUCCAGGCCACACGAUUCGGGCAGCAAGAGCCGAGCAGACGAGCGUUUAUAAAUACCCAUCCUUACAUCCAACCUCGAGGAGGAGAUCACAAACCGCGCGCCGCCGCCGACGCCGACGACGACGAAGACGACGGCGAGCGAGAGCGCGCGCGACUCCCACUCCGACGAUCUUGAACUUGUGUGUACGCUAUUAUCGUCCGUCGUCGUCGUCGCCGUCGUUGUAUUGUGUUGGCUUUUAGCUAUCACUCCCCUUCGUCCUCGGCGGCCGGCCGGACGUGCUGCUCGAUCGAUCGAACGCCGGCGGCCUCCGCCGCCGCCGCCGUCGUGAUUGAGGUGAGCGACUCCAUGGAUAAGAACCGACGGGUGAUCGAUGCUGACUAGCUAGCUAUUCUUAGCCAUGUGUGAGUGUGUGACUGACCCCGCAAACGCUGCAUGAUGUGCAACGUACUCUGCAUGCCUUCCACGGCGGCCAAUCUUGUGAGACCGAUUCUUGCACGAUUGUUUUCUCAGCUCAUCUGAUCCAUCUCAUCGAAUCUUCUGCGCAUUGAUCAGUUCUGUGCUACGCUGCUCCAGUUUUUGCAGGAUCAGUACUAGGGUUCAUCUUGGAGAACCAAUUUGAUUCGAUAGAACGAGCGAGUCGAAGAAGAUGGUGCUCGCGAGCACGCCGAAGGUGGUGCUGGGAUGCGUGGCGUUCACGAUCUUCUGGGUGCUGGCCGUGUUCCCGUCGGUGCCGUUCAUGCCGGUGGGUCGCACGGCGGGGUCCCUCCUGGGCGCCAUGCUGAUGGUGCUCUUCCGCGUGAUGACACCCGAGGAGGCGUACGCCGCCAUCGACCUCCCCAUCCUCGGCCUCCUCUUCGGCACCAUGGUCGUCUCCAUCUUCCUGGAGCGCGCCGACAUGUUCAAGUACCUCGGCAACAUGCUGUCGUGGAAGAGCCGCGGCAGCAAGGACCUCCUCUUCCGCGUCUGCGUCGUCUCCGCCGUCGCCAGCGCGCUCUUCACCAACGACACCACCUGCGUCGUCCUCACCGAGUUCAUCCUCAAGGUGGCGCGCCAGAACAACCUCCCGCCGCAGCCGUUCCUCCUCGCGCUCGCGUCGAGCUCCAACAUCGGGUCGGCGGCGACGCCCAUCGGCAACCCGCAGAACCUCGUCAUCGCCGUCGAGAGCGGCAUCACGUUCGGCCAGUUCCUCCUCGGCGUGUUCCCGGCGAUGGUCGUCGGCAUCCUCGCCAACACCUGCAUCCUCCUCUGCUACUUCUGGAGGUACCUCUCCGCCGACCGCGACCAGCUCGAGGGCGGCGGCGGCGCGCAUGGUCCCGAGGUCGUCGCCGACGAGGAGGUCACCUCGCACCGGUUCACCCCGGCGAGGAUGUCCCACGCGUCGUCCGUCAACGACAGCGACUGCAUCAGCGAGCCCAUCCGCCGGAGCGAGAGCAUGAACCGCGCCGACGCGCUCCGCAGCCGGAGCUACAACUCCGAGGGCGACAUCCAGGUCGCCAUCCGCUCGCUCCGGGCGUCGAGCCUGUCGCGCGAGAUGGUGGAGGUGUCCACCGUCUGCGACCGCCGCGACGUCGUCGUCGACGGCGGCGGCGGCGGCGGGCCGCGCAAGAUCACCAGGUCGACGAGCCACCAGCGGAGCGUCAUCAUCGAGGACGCGCCGGAGCAGCACCAGCAUCCGGC
rnacentral:lncRNA from 1 species